rnacentral:ncRNA from 1 species
GGUCCCCACUAAGGCAGCGUUAAAACACUAUGCCAACGUGGGGGAAGGCUCAUCUCACGAUCUUGCUGUUCCUUCUACUUCCGGUGCCGGGCAUCGGUCUGCUCGAGUUAGGCACACUGCGCUGCCGCUCGGGGCCGAUGUUACGGGGACGA